CGUUCCAGUGUUGCAUUUACA
rnacentral:miRNA from 14 species